GUAAUCAGGUCAAAUCUGUGUUUAUAUUCUCUCGUCAAUAUAAAUACGAUUUGCUUUUUAAAAGUUUCCAUUUAGCAGAGAUUCACAAUUUUUUUCAAUAUUUAUUAUAUGAUUGAGGGGGUGAGGAAAGGUGUGUGCACAGCAUGGUUCACCCGAUCAUUUUUAUGUUUUGUUUUCUAUUAUUUGAGGCCGUAUGUUGUACAACAGACUACGUGGAUGAUUUUAAGCUGGAUGACAAAUAUUCAUGGAUACAUGUUUUGCAGCUUGGACAGUAUAACAAACGCCAACCCGACUACCUCUAUAAAUAUCUAAAUGAAAAUAGUAGUGACACAUACCAGCCACAACAGAUAAUUAUGGACAUUGAAAACGAACAAGCACAUAAAAGGGCAUCCAAACUAGCCAACUCCAAAUUAUAUCAACAUAUAUAUUCUUUAAUUUAUGCUCUUAAAACACAAAACAGUCGAUGGCAUGAUAAUUUAAGAUUUUAGACAGUAAUGCAUGUUGAAAUGACUAUGUUUUGUGUGAUUUUCCUGAAAUGCAUGGUCCAUCAAAUUUACAUUUGUUCCAUUUAGCUUAAACCAUAAUUCUUACAUCAAAAACGAUAUAUGGUAACUUGUAAUAGGUGGAAUAAAACCAAUCUAACGAAUUAACACUACUGUUUAAUCACUGUGCUGAAUCAAUAAGUGACCAACAUUAAUAGAAAGCGUAAAAAGUGAUCAUGGGGUGCGACUUCAUUACCUGAAAUUCGACAGUCAAAAUGUAAUAUAUCUGUGUCAAGCUUGAGAACCAUAUCAAUAUCUGUAAAACAUAAUAUUUAGAAAAUUUGAAAAACAACU